GGACGAACGCUGGCGGCGUGCCUAACACAUGCAAGUCGAACGGAGUUGAGGAGCUUGCUCCUUAACUUAGUGGCGGACGGGUGAGUAACGCGUGAGUAACCUGCCUCUGAGAGGGGAAUAACGUUCUGAAAAGAACGCUAAUACCGCAUGACACAUAUUUGCCGCAUGACAGAUAUGUCAAAGAUUUUUAUCGCUCAGAGAUGGACUCGCGUCCGAUUAGUUAGUUGGUGAGGUAACGGCUCACCAAGACCGCGAUCGGUAGCCGGACUGAGAGGUUGAACGGCCACAUUGGGACUGAGACACGGCCCAGACUCCUACGGGAGGCAGCAGUGGGGGAUAUUGCGCAAUGGGGGCAACCCUGACGCAGCAACGCCGCGUGAAGGAUGAAGGUUUUCGGAUUGUAAACUUCUUUUCUCAGGGACGAAAUUUGACGGUACCUGAGGAAUAAGCUCCGGCUAACUACGUGCCAGCCGCAGC
rnacentral:rRNA from 1 species